CGCGUGGGAAUCUACCUAGCUCUACGGAAUAGCUCCGGGAAACUGGAAUUAAUACCGUAUACGCCCUUUUGGGAAAGAUUUAUCGGAGUUGGAUGAGCCCGCGUUGGAUUAGCUAGUUGGUGGGGUAAUGGCCUACCAAGGCGACGAUCCAUAGCUGGUCUGAGAGGAUGAUCAGCCACACUGGGACUGAGACACGGCCCAGACUCCUACGGGAGGCAGCAGUGGGGAAUAUUGCACAAUGGGCGAAAGCCUGAUGCAGCCAUGCCGCGUGUGUGAAGAAGGCCUUCGGUUGUAAAGUCA
rnacentral:rRNA from 1 species